rnacentral:rRNA from 1 species
CGGGGCUCAACGCCUUGUAAUUGGAAUGAUGGGAAUCUAAACCCCUUCCAGAGUAUCAAUUGGAGGGCAAGUCUGGUGCCAGCAGCCGCGGUAAUUCCAGCUCCAAUAGCGUAUAUUAAAAUUGUUGCAGUUAAAAAGCUCGUAGUUGAAUUUCUGCUGCAUCGCCACGGCCCCACGGGCCCAGCGUUGCGGCUUAUUUCGGACUCGCUUGCGAUGCCGAAUGUUUACUUUGAGAAAAUUAGAGUGCUCAAAGCAGGCCCUCGCCUGAAUACUUUAGCAUGGAAUAAUAAAGUAGGACUUUGGUUCUAUUUUGUUGGUUUAGCGCCAAAGUAAUGGUUAAUAGGAACAGUUGGGGGCAUUCGUAUUUAACUGUCAGAGGUGAAAUUCUUAGAUUUGUUAAAGACGAACCACUGCGAAAGCAUUUGCCAAGGAUGUUUUCAUUAAUCAAGAAC